GACGUAGGUGGCGAACGUUAUCCGGAUUUAUUGGGUUUAAAGGGUGCGUAGGUGGCCUGGUAAGUCAGGGGUGAAAGACGGUAGCUUAACUAUCGCAGUGCCUUUGAUACUGCCGGGCUUGAAUGAACUAGAGGUAGGCGGAAUGUGACAAGUAGCGGUGAAAUGCAUAGAUAUGUCACAGAACACCGAUUGCGAAGGCAGCUUACUAUGGUUUUAUUGACACUGAGGCACGAAGGCGUGGGGAUCAAACAGG
rnacentral:rRNA from 1 species